AAUGCAGCAGGAGGAGAAGGAUCUCACAGGGGCAGCUUGGUUCUCCUCCUCCUAUGCCAAUAAUAUAUGGGACAAUCAUGGUGCUCCUUUUAAAUAUACAAAGAAGUGGUAAGACUGCCAGAAAAAGGAAAGUGAAAAACUUCAGAUAUUAACAUCAUCUACACACAGAGCAGGAAAUGGCUUGGCGUGAAAUUCAUGGUUUUCAAACAGUUUAAGAAAGCAACAAACUCAUAUUAAAAAGUCCAAUGGUACACAUUGUUGCACAGGAAGAAGGACUUGUAAAAGAUAACAGAUGGUCACCACCAACAUGCUCAAACACCAACAAAUGAUGUGCUUUUGCUAUAGCUAUACCAUCAGCUCCAGCUUUUGCUCCAGCCUUGAUUCCAGCUUGGAUCCCAGCCUCUGGUUUGGACCUGUCUCCAGACCAAAACCACACACCACACUUGGAUGCUCUAGAGAAUUGGACCCUAGAGACCCGACCAUCUCUGGACAUUUCUUGGAACCAUACACUGUCCUAGUUUCCUGGCUUGCAAGUGGUGUGCUUGCCUCUCCUUUUUCCUGCCUUGUCUCUGUGAGGAGAUCCACCAACACACAUAGCUGCUACCCUGCAAGUGUGCAAGUCACACUACCGGAUAUUGGAUUAGGCAUUACUAAUUGUCUAACUUCCUAAAUCUCCUUGCUCCCUUCUCUUUAAGUCUAAAGCUACUCUUCAGGUCCUUUCUCUGGCCAGCCCUGAGCUGAUUCUUUAAUAAUUCGAACCUCAUGCUACAACGCCUCUUCAUGAGAUUCCAGAUUAGCACUAUUAGUUAAUAUUUUAUUGCCUCCUUGCCAUCUUAAUAUUUCUUUCUGCAUCUCA